rnacentral:misc_RNA from 1 species
GAAUGAAGAACGCAGCAAAAUGCGAUAAGUAAUGUGAAUUGCAGAAUUCAGUGAAUCAUCGAAUCUUUGAACGCACAUUGCGCCCGCUGGUAUUCCGGCGGGCAUGCCUGUUCGAGCGUCAUUUCAACCCUCAAGCCCCCGGGUUUGGUGUUGGGGAUCGGCUCUGCCUUCUGGCGGUGCCGCCCCCGAAAUACAUUGGCGGUCUCGCUGCAGCCUCCAUUGCGUAGUAGCUAACACCUCGCAACUGGAACGCGGCGCGGCCAUGCCGUAAAACCCCAACUUCUGAAUGUUGACCUCGGAUCAGGUAGGAAUACCCGCUGAACUUAAGCAUAUCAAUAAGCGGAGGA